rnacentral:snRNA from 1 species
AUCACUUCUCGGCCUUUUGGCUAAGAUCAAGUGUAGUAUUCAUUAUCUUUCUAUUUCUGUAGAUUAGCAGCUUGCACAUGAUGGAACACAAUCCUU